AUCAGAAUGUGAUAUAUCCGUGGCUAAGGUAAAAUUGAGAGGUUGUGUUUGCCUCAUCACUUACAAGGAUGGCAUUUGAUUCUUUUAUGUGGCUCAGUUUUCUCAGUAGCAGCAGUUGUGGCGAUAAUUUCUAUAGUUCUCCCGUGUGCCGUUUGUUGCAUGUUCUGGGAGAUGCUCCUCAAUUCUUAAGGUUGGUUCAAUUGGAUCUUGCCCUAUUUUACUGAGUUGAGUGACCUUUCUUCAGUCUUGUAUUGUAAUAUUGUUCAUGGAAUCUUGUUUAAUGCAAUUUCAUGAUAAAAAAUAAAACUAUUAACAUUUGUAUAAAAAAUACGUCUCCUACAUAUACAUUUUAAUUUUUUAAGUAUUUAUGCGUUUCAAAUUUUAAUUUUCACUCUAAUAAAUCUUAUUUUUAUGACUAAAUUAAAGCAAUAAUUUUUAAAAAAUAAUAACGAAGUUAACAGUAUCUAUAUUUUAAGUGAAUAUAUAAUAACCUAAUUGAAUGCUCCAACAAAAUUGGGGAAGGAAAUUAAUUUAUUUAAAAGAAAAAAUUAGGGUUAGGCGGAUACAACCUAAACUAAGGUAGCGUCAAAGUCAGGCCGAGGGAGCUAAUAACUGUGUAAAGAGGAGAAAUAUAAAAAGAAGCCGGUCUCUCGCCUCUCCUCUCUUAAAGCAUGGACCCCAUCAACCGCGUAUGACCUCCGCUUCAAGCUUUCAACGCACCGUAUCUACCUUCCUAUUCUGCUUCCUUCUCGCUUUCCUUUCCCCUAUAUAUUCUCUCCAACUCUUCUCUCCCAAACCAUCCUAAACCCAUUCUUUUCUUCUUAUUCUAUUUUCAUUAGCAUAUGUCUCAGAGGCCUUCCGUCCCUCACUCUUCUUCCGUAGCUUUUAGCCUCCAUUCUCAUCUUCUUGUCUCCAGUGAUUUGAACCCCAACUGGGUUUCAUUUUUAUAGGCAAAUUUUAUUGAUUUUUGCGUUUUUGGUUCCAUAUUUUUUCAUUCUUUUUUUAACCAGAGGGAAAGAAGGUAGAGAAGGAGAGAUAACUAACCAUGGGUGUCAAAGGUUUUGUUGAAGGUGGGAUUGCUUCCAUUGUUGCUGGUUGCUCCACUCAUCCUCUCGAUCUGAUUAAGGUCCGCAUGCAGCUUCAAGGCGAGAGCUUGCCAAAUCCUCACCACCAAAUACACAACCUACGCCCUGCUUUCGCCUUCAAUUCCUCUGCUUCUGCUGCCGUCAUUCCUCCCAACUCCAUCCAUGUCUCUGCCCCACCACCGCCGCCUCGCGUUGGCCCAGUCUCUGUCGGCAUGCGCAUUGUGCAGGCUGAAGGUGUUGCUGCAUUGUUCUCCGGCGUUUCAGCCACCGUUCUCCGUCAGACACUCUACUCCACAACUCGCAUGGGUCUUUACGAUGUUCUCAAAC
rnacentral:lncRNA from 1 species